rnacentral:lncRNA from 1 species
GUUAUUUGCCUUAAAAAUUUUUUAAAAAAAAGCCGAUAAAAGGAAUAAAGGAAACGCGCAAUCCCUAACCACUCACAUUCGUUGUCUUCUUCUUCAAUUUUCACGAAUUACAAUCACAACGACUCACUCAGUCACACACACCAGCCCUAACCCUACCAAAGCUAUCAAACGCCAAUGCCGCUGCCGCUGUCAAAUCGAUUCAAGUGCUCCGGCGCUGAGUCUAGCCGUCCUUGAGCCGAUUUGCUUCCUUUUUCUGCCGCCGCUGUCAAUCUCUGCCAUUUUUGAGCCGAUUCACUUCCGCAAAACAGCUGCUGUCAUCUCUGCCGACAUUGCCUCUGUGUUCGUUCACCGUCAGAUGCAGUGUUAUUGUGGUGACACUGCCUCCGCUAUCAAGUCAGUUCAAAUUUUCUGGGUGCUAUCUCGAAAAUGUUGGUGAGAUUGUUGCCAAUGAUAUUCUAAAAUUUUGAAUUCAGGGUUAUUGUUUCACCACUGUGAGUUGCUUUCUCCAAUUUUGCAAUUCUUUCCUCUUAAUUUGCUUUGAAAUAUUUGCUCGUUGGAUUUAUUUCCUCUUCAUUUAUAAUCGAUUUGGUGAUUUUGUGUUGUGUAGCUUGUACCUUAGUCUCUCCUUUUCCUUUCAUAAUAUUAUAAAAUAUGUCGUGCACUUUGGCCUUUCGUUUCUUGAUUUUCUUGGUUAAUGAAUUUGGAAAAAGAGUGAAUUAUGGGUAAGGGGAUAGAAAAUCACAUUGACAGAAAAGAGGACUGAAACGCCUUGAUUUUUACUAAGUGGAGUUUACUUAUUUGUUAAAAAAAUAAAUUUUAAAUUAUUAAUGAUUUAAUUGUCUUAUGCUUAUUAUAUUGUUCGUAAAAUUUUUGUUACAAGUCCAGCCCAUGAACCUCUUUAUGUUUUAGCAUUUCUUUAUUUAUUUACGAAACGAAAACCAGCGUUCGAAUUCAAAAGGAACAAAACAGAAAAAGGAAGAAAGGAAACAAGAGGAUAACAGGACGUGAGAGAGGAGAAGAGGGAGAAAGAAGAGAAAGACAAGAGAGGCUAGGUGAAGGAUUUGGAUUUAAAGAGAGAGAAUUCAAUUUCAGAGGAAAAUAUUAAAUAUCUGGCUUUUUAAAUUUGUAAGCCUUAUUCAAUUUCAGAGCAAAAUAUUAAAUAUCUGGCUUUUUAAAUUUGUAAGCCUUCUUUCUCAGUUCACUUUAUUCUUUUAUUUUUCUUCAAAAUUCUUGUUUAAAUUGGCAUGCUUGUUGAUGUUGUUAAGUCAUUUCUAAAUUAACUUGCAUA